rnacentral:rRNA from 1 species
GCUCGUGUCGUGAGAUGUUGGGUUAAGUCCCGUAACGAGCGCAACCCUUGUCCUUAGUUACCAGCACGUCAUGGUGGGCACUCUAAGGAGACUGCCGGUGACAAACCGGAGGAAGGUGGGGAUGACGUCAAGUCAUCAUGGCCCUUACGGCCUGGGCUACACACGUGCUACAAUGGUCGGUACAGAGGGUUGCCAAGCCGCGAGGUGGAGCUAAUCCCAUAAAACCGAUCGUAGUCCGGAUCGCAGUCUGCAACUCGACUGCGUGAAGUCGGAAUCGCUAGUAAUCGCGAAUCAGAAUGUCGCGGUGAAUACGUUCCCGGGCCUUGUACACACCGCCCGU